rnacentral:sRNA from 1 species
GCCGGGUGUGGUGGCGCAUGCCUGUAAUCCCAGCUACUUGGGAGGCUGAGGCAGGAGAAUUGCUUGAACCCAGGAGGCAGAGGUUGCAGUGAGCCAAGAUCCUGCCAUUGCCUGGGCAACAGAGCGGGACCCAGUCUCAA